UGGUAUGUAGCUCAGUGGAAUAGCACCUGCCUGGCAAGCAUGAGGUCAUGAGUUUGAUCCCUCAUACCAA
rnacentral:tRNA from 1 species